rnacentral:rRNA from 1 species
UACGUAGGGGGCAAGCGUUAUCCGGAUUUACUGGGUGUAAAGGGAGCGUAGACGGCGAUGCAAGUCUGAAGUGAAAGGCGGGGGCCCAACCCCCGGACUGCUUUGGAAACUGUAUAGCUGGAGUGCAGGAGAGGUAAGUGGAAUUCCUAGUGUAGCGGUGAAAUGCGUAGAGAUCGGGAGGAACACCAGUGGCGAAGGCGGCCUGCUGGGCUCUAACUGACGCUGAGGCACGAAAGCGUGGGUAGCAAACAGG